rnacentral:rRNA from 1 species
GACGAACGCUGGCGGCGUGCCUAAUACAUGCAAGUUGAGCGCUGAAGGUUGGUACUUGUACCAACUGGAUGAGCAGCGAACGGGUGAGUAACGCGUGGGGAAUCUGCCUUUGAGCGGGGGACAACAUUUGGAAACGAAUGCUAAUACCGCAUAAAAACUUUAAACACAAGUUUUAAGUUUGAAAGAUGCAAUUGCAUCACUCAAAGAUGAUCCCGCGUUGUAUUAGCUAGUUGGUGGGGUAAAGGCUCACCAAGGCGAUGAUACAUAGCCGACCUGAGAGGGUGAUCGGCCAAAAUGGGACUGAGACACGGCCCAAACUCCUACGGGAGGCAGCAGUAAGGAAUCUUCGGCAAUGGACGAAAGUCAGAACGAGCAACGCCGCGUGAGUGAAGAAGGUUUUCGGAUCGUAAAACUCUGUUGGUAGAGAAGAACGUUGGUGAGAGUGGAAAGCUCAUCAAGUGACGGUAACUACACAGAAAGGGACGGCUAACUACGUG